rnacentral:lncRNA from 1 species
CUGACAUCCGACGUGGGGUAGCUCUUGGCCGCGCUUAGUGCGCCGGCCCGCCGCCGCUGCCUGCGCUUAGUGCGCCCCUGAGCUGCUAUUUUAUAUGCAGUAAUAUGUGUAUUAAAUACGUCGAUCCCAAUCUCCCAGUUUGUCCUUCCCCACUUGCUGGCUGUCUCAGAAAGAAAUGGUAAAAACAAAUCUCUCAGAAGUUAAUCAGCCUCACUGUCUGGGGACCAUCCAUCCAGAGGACAUGUCAGGACAGGGCGGAAAUAAAAAUGUGCUUUGUGGAACAGGAACUACCCCAGGACAUCCUGCCCAUGUGGGAUCUUUGCAUUCUGCUUUCCCUGGCAUCCUGCAGCAACCUCCUCCCUAGAGAGGCCAUUGACAUUUAUGGCCGUGCCCACCAGCUGUGCCAACUUACUUCUAGAGGAUUGGAGAAACCAGCAACUUUCCAUGCCUCAGUCUCCCUCCAUCUGCAAUAAAGUUCACAGAGG